rnacentral:lncRNA from 1 species
AGGCCACUUGGUCCAGGGAUGUGGCUUCAGCAAGCAUUUGGGUGCCUCCUCUGUGUUCAGGACAUGGGGACUCCGGGAGACUGAAGGAAGCAAGUGGCAAUGUCCAUGCCGUCAAGUUCUGUGACAGAAAUAAGCAGGAGCAAGUGAAAGAUAGGAGAGAAGCUCUGUGACGGGUGGCAUUCAAGCUUAGCUUCUGGGCAGGAAGAGGCAGCUAUGUCAGCAUUCCCUAACAAGCCCAGCCCUGGAAGGUGGAAGAAGAAAAGUUGACAUGGAAUGUUUGGGAAGCACCGCUGGUCCAGGUCCAGGAUCGGGGCAGCCAGCAUGUCCUCUAAUCUGGCCUCACUGUUGAAAUCCAGUCGAGCAGGCAGGGCCCAAACCACUGCGAGACCAGCUCGGUCGGGCGCAAACCACCGCCCACUG